UGGCAUACGGUAGGUAUUGGAUAAAGGUAUUUGGAAUGGAGUAAUGAAUUAUGAGAAGAUCUAAUAGCUAAGAUCAAUUUUUAAUCCACCAAUAUUGAAUUAUAACAGUUAAGUCUUAUAGUCACAAACAAAAUCCAUGAGUGUGUUUUCUUUUUCAGAAACUGUUCAUUUUCCAUGCUGCUAUCUUACACCACUUUAUAUACAUCAUAAUUAUGAAGAUACACCCCCAAGGGUUUUGUUCUGAAAUUAUUCAACCCCCAACUCCAAAUGCCCUAGCAGUAUGUUAUGGAGGUUCAUCUGUGAGUAUUUUCAGAUUGUCACAUCUACAAUCACAUCUCAGUUAAUUAAGAGGAGCGAGUUGCAGGGAAAAGGUCAUAGUAGAUGAUGAUACCUGCCUGUCUGACCUUUGAGGAAGGGGAAUUUCUGAAACCUAAGGCUUCCUUGUAUUGCUCAAUUCAGUGAGAAAGAAAUCACUAAUGAUAGCAGGGUUUUGCUCUGUCGCCCCCGCUGGAGCGCAGUGGCACAAACAGAGUACAUUGCUGUCUAUCUUCUGGACUCAAGUGAUCUUCCCUCCUCAGCCUUCUGAGUAGCUGGGACUACAGAUGCAGAUAGAAAUAUUAGUUUUAUGAGAAACUAUUUCUUAAAGGAUGAAACAUUCCACAAAAUAUAUUUUAUCACAGACUAUGGGUGGAUUCCACUGGGAGAAAAGAGGAUCUAAAUGCCAGGCUCACCCCUCACAUUCUAUUCAACUGCACAGGAUAGAAUGAUACAUCCCUCUCUCACAAGAGCUCCCUGGAAACUGCAGAGGAAUCACCAUCUUCAGCAAGCUUUAUCAAGAAUGCAUUCAUGAGAUUCCCACUUUAAACAUCCAGCCAAGCACUUUUAUGUCUGUCACAGAGGCUUUAAAGGAGAGGCUGGAGAGUUCUCAUUUUCAGCACCAUCUCAGCUGUCGGUAUUUCCCAAACCUGCACUGAUGUCUGAGAAUCCACAUCAAAACUUUUGCAUUUGUCCUCAAAGAAUGUCACAACUAUUAUUCUGAAAUGCUCAUUGCAUCUAUUUCUAGGGAUGGUAAUGAUGACUCUGUACGGACUAAGAUAGGAUUAAUAACAAUGCAGAGUUGAACUCAA
rnacentral:lncRNA from 1 species